rnacentral:rRNA from 1 species
AUGCACGCUGGCGGCGUGCCUAAUACCUGCAAGUCGAGCGCACGGACGAGAAGCUUGCUUCUCUGAUGUUAGCGGCGGACGGGUGAGUAACACGUGGAUAACCUACCUAUAAGACUGGGAUAACUUCGGGAAACCGGAGCUAAUACCGGAUAAUAUUUUGAACCGCAUGGUUCAAAAGUGAAAGACGGUCUUGCUGUCACUUAUAGAUGGAUCCGCGCUGCAUUAGCUAGUUGGUAAGGUAACGGCUUACCAAGGCAACGAUGCAUAGCCGACCUGAGAGGGUGAUCGGCCACACUGGAACUGAGACACGGUCCAGACUCCUACGGGAGGCAGCAGUAGGGAAUCUUCCGCAAUGGGCGAAAGCCUGACGGAGCAACGCCGCGUGAGUGAUGAAGGUCUUCGGAUCGUAAAACUCUGUUAUUAGGGAAGAACAUAUGUGUAAGUAACUGUGCACAUCUUGACGGUACCUAAUCAGAAAGCCACGGCUAACUACGUG